rnacentral:rRNA from 1 species
AACGCAUUAACUACUCCGCCGGGGAAGGACGUGCGAAAAAGUGAAACUCAAAGGACUUGACCGGGACCCGCACAAGUAGCUGGGCAUGAGGUUUAACUCAAAGCAACGCGAAGAACCAUACCUAAGCGUGAAAUCCCGAUGACAUCACCUCAAUCCGAAAAUUCCCUUCGGGGACAUUGGGGACAGGUGGUGCAUAGUUGUCGUCAGCUCGUGUCGUGAGAUGUUGGGUUAAGUCCCGCAACGAGCCCAAGCCUUGUCUUUAGUUGCCAUCAUUAAGUUGGGCACUCUAGAGAGACUGCCAGGGAUAACCUGGAGGAAGGUGGGGAUGACGUCAAAUCAUCAUGCC